GACGAACCGUGCGAACGUUAUUCGGAAUCACUGGGCUUAAAGCGCGUGUAGGUGGGACGGCACGUCGGUCGUUGAAAUCCCCCGGCUCAACCGGGGAAGGGGCGCCGAUACGACCGUCCUGGAGGGACGUAGGGGGACCUGGAACUUCCGGUGGAGCGGUGAAAUGCGUUGAGAUCGGAAGGAACGCCCGUGGCGAAAGCGAGGUCCUGACGUUUUCUGACACUGAGACGCGAAAGCCAGGGGAGCGAACGGG
rnacentral:rRNA from 1 species